rnacentral:rRNA from 1 species
GACGAACGCUGGCGGCGCGCUUAACACAUGCAAGUCGUACGGAAAGGCCUGCUUUCCCUUGUGGAUUGCGGGUACUCGAGUGGCGAACGGGUGAGUAACACGUGAGUGAUCUGCCCCCAACUUGGGUAUAAGCCUGGGAAACUGGGUCUAAUUCCCGAUAGGACUGCAGGGUGGUGCCUGUGGUGGAAAACGAUUUUCUAGUGGUUGGGGAUGAGCUCGCGGCCUAUCAGCUUGUUGGUGGGGUAAUGGCCUACCAAGGCGGCGACGGGUAGCCGGCCUGAGAGGGUGGACGGCCACAUUGGGACUGAGAUACGGCCCAGACUCCUACGGGAGGCAGCAGUGGGGAAUAUUGCACAAUGGGCGGAAGCCUGAUGCAGCGACGCCGCGUGGGGGAUGACGGCCUUCGGGUUGUAAACUCCUUUCGACCGCGAGGAAGCCACCUGGUUGGAAGGGUGGUGACGGUAGUGGUAGAAGAAGCACCGGCUAACUACGUG